AUGGUGGAUCACGAAAUCGUGUGCUGCAUGUGCGGUGAUGUUGGUUUCAGUGACAAACUUUUCCGAUGUAACAAAUGUGGCCACCGCUUCCAACACUCGUAUUGCAGUAAUUUCUAUGGAGAAUUAAGCGAGAUUGAAGAGUGUGAUUGGUGUCAAAGCAAAGGGAAAAGCAGUGUUGGCUCCAAGAAACCGACGAUGAAAGUGACGUUGAACCAUAGUUCUGGAUGUCCCGGAGAGAAAAUAUUGAAGCAGGAGAAGGGUACGGAUCAGAAGAGGAAGAGUCCAGUGCCGUCACCGAGACAAGCCACACGCAGGUACAAGCUUCUCAAGGAUGUAAUGUGUUGA